rnacentral:rRNA from 1 species
AACGCGAAGAACCUUACCUACCUUUGAAUCCACGGAAUCUUGCAGAGAUGUGAGAGUGCCUUCGGGAACCGUGAGACAGGUGCUGCAUGGCUGUCGUCAGCUCGUGUCGUGAGAUGUUGGGUUAAGUCCCGUAACGAGCGCAACCCUUGUCCUUAGUUACUAACGAGUAAAGUCGAGGACUUUAAGGAGACUGCCGGUGAUAAACCGGAGGAAGGUGGGGAUGACGUCAAGUCCUCAUGGCCCUUACAGGUAGGGCUACACACGUGCUACAAUGGCCGGUACAGAGGGUCGCCAACCCGCGAGGGGGAGCUAAUCUCAAAAAGCCGGUCGUAGUCCGGAUUGGAGUCUGCAACUCGACUCCAUGAAGCUGGAAUCGCUAGUAAUCGCGGAUCAGCACGCCGCGGUGAAUACGUUCCCGGGCCUUGUACACACCGCUCGUC